rnacentral:rRNA from 1 species
AAAAAGCUCGUAGUUGGAGUUCAGAUUGAGCUCGGCCGGUCGGCCUAAUUGGUCAGAACUGGUUGACUCUGUCUUGUUUGUGGAUCCCUCCGGAGUUAACUCUUCGGAUGUGGAGUCCACAUCGUUUACCUUGAAAAAAUUAGAGUGUUCAAAGCAGGCGUUUGCUUGAAUAUAUUAGCAUGGAAUAAUGGAAUAGGACGCUGGUUCUAUUUUGUUGGUUUUGAGAACCAGAGUAAUGAUUAAUAGGGACAGUUGGGGGCAUUCAUAUUUCAUUGUCAGAGGUGAAAUUCUUGGAUUUAUGAAAGAUGAACUUCUGCGAAAGCAUUUGCCAAGGAUGUUUUCAUUAAUCAAAAACGAAAGUUAGGGGAUCGAAAACGAUCAGAUACCGUCGUAGUCUUAACCAUAAACUAUGCCGACUAGGGAUUGGACGUGGUUGGUUCAUUGACCCGUUCAGCACCUUACGAAAAAUCAAAGUCUUUGGGUUCCGGGGGGAGUAUGGUCGCAAGGCUGAAACUUAAAGGAAUUGACGGAGGGGCACCACCAGGAGUGGAGCCUGCGGCUUAAUUUGACUCAACACGGGAAAACUUACCAGGU